rnacentral:rRNA from 1 species
CCUACGGGAGGCAGCAGUGAGGAAUAUUGGUCAAUGGACGAGAGUCUGAACCAGCCAAGUAGCGUGAGGGAUGACUGCACUAUGGGUUGUAAACUUCUUUUAUAAAGGAAUAAAACGAGGCACGUGUGCCUUGUUGCAUGUACUUUAUGAAUAAGGAUCGGCUAACUCCGUGCCAGCAGCCGCGGUAAUACGGAGGAUCCGAGCGUUAUCCGGAUUUAUUGGGUUUAAAGGGAGCGUAGAUGGGUUGUUAAGUCAGUUGUGAAAGUUUGCGGCUCAACCGUAAAAUUGCAAUUGAGACUGGCAGUCUUGAGUACAGUUGAGGUAGGCGGAAUUCGUGGUGUAGCGGUGAAAUGCUUAGAUAUCACGAAGAACCCCGAUUGCGAAGGCAGCUUACUAAACUGUGACUGACACUGAUGCUCGAAAGUGUGGGUAUCAAACAGGAUUAGAUACCCUAGUAGUC